GAUGAACGCUGGCGGCGUGCCUAACACAUGCAAGUCGAGCGAAGCAUUUUAAAGGAAGUUUUCGGAUGGAAUUUGAAAUGACUGAGCGGCGGACGGGUGAGUAACGCGUGGGUAACCUGCCUCAUACAGGGGGAUAACAGUUAGAAAUGACUGCUAAUACCGCAUAAGCACACAGUACCGCAUGGUACGGUGUGAAAAACUCCGGUGGUAUGAGAUGGACCCGCGUCUGAUUAGCUAGUUGGUAAGGUAACGGCUUACCAAGGCAACGAUCAGUAGCCGACCUGAGAGGGUGACCGGCCACAUUGGGACUGAGACACGGCCCAA
rnacentral:rRNA from 1 species